rnacentral:rRNA from 1 species
UGGGGAAUUUUGGACAAUGGGCGCAAGCCUGAUCCAGCCAUGCCGCGUGCGGGAAGAAGGCCUUCGGGUUGUAACCGCUUUUGUCAGGGAAGAAAUCUUCUGAGUUAAUACCUCGGGAGGAUGACGGUACCUGAAGAAUAAGCACCGGCUAACUACGUGCCAGCAGCCGCGGUAAUACGUAGGGUGCAAGCGUUAAUCGGAAUUACUGGGCGUAAAGCGUGCGCAGGCGGUUUUGUAAGACAGAGGUGAAAUCCCCGGGCUCAACCUGGGAACUGCCUUUGUGACUGCAAGGCUUGAUGCGGCAGAGGGGGAUGGAAUUCCGCGUGUAGCAGUGAAAUGCGUAGAUAUGCGGAGGAACACCGAUGGCGAAGGCAAUCCCCUGGGCCUGCACUGACGCUCAUGCACGAAAGCGUGGGGAGCAAACAGGAUUAGAUACCCUGGUAGUCCACGCCCUAAACGAUGUCAACUGGUUGUUGGGAAGGUUCCUUCUCAGUAACGUAGCUAACGCGUGAA